rnacentral:rRNA from 1 species
GAUGAACGCUAGCUACAGGCUUAACACAUGCAAGUCGAGGGGCAGCAUGGUCUUAGCUUGCUAAGGCCGAUGGCGACCGGCGCACGGGUGAGUAACACGUAUCCAACCUGCCGUCUACUCUUGGACAGCCUUCUGAAAGGAAGAUUAAUACAAGAUGGCAUCAUGAGUCCGCAUGUUCACAUGAUUAAAGGUAUUCCGGUAGACGAUGGGGAUGCGUUCCAUUAGAUAGUAGGCGGGGUAACGGCCCACCUAGUCUUCGAUGGAUAGGGGUUCUGAGAGGAAGGUCCCCCACAUUGGAACUGAGACACGGUCCAAACUCCUACGGGAGGCAGCAGUGAGGAAUAUUGGUCAAUGGGCGAGAGCCUGAACCAGCCAAGUAGCGUGAAGGAUGACUGCCCUAUGGGUUGUAAACUUCUUUUAUAAAGGAAUAAAGUCGGGUAUGGAUACCCGCUUGCAUGUACUUUAUGAAUA